CGCGACCCAGGUCAGACGGGACUACCCGCUGAGUUUAAGCAUAUCAAUAAACGGAGGAAAAGAAACUUACAAGGAUUCCUUAGCAAUGGCGAGCGAACCGGGAACAUCCCAACUUGUAAAUCAAGGGGGCCAUGCCGUCUGAAUUGUAGUCUAGAAAAGUGUCCUUAGCGGCGGACCGGGCCCAAGUCCCCUGGAAGGGGGCACUGGAGAGGGUGAGAGCCCCGUCGUGCCCGGGACCCUGUUGCACCACGAGGCACUGUCGUCGAGGCAGGUUGUUUGUGAGAGACCAAUAGCAAACAAGUACCGCGAAGGAAAGAUGAAAAGGACUUUGAAAAGAGAGUCAAAGAGUGCUUGAUUGUCGGGAGGGAAGCGGAUGGGCGCCGGCGAUGCACCCCGGUCGGAUGUGGAACGGUGAGAGCUGGUCCGCCGAUCGACUCGGGGCGUGGACUAAUGCGGACAGCGGCGGCGGCCCAAGUCCGGGCUGUUGAUAUGCCCGCGGAGACGUUGUCGGCGUGAUUGUGGAAGGCAGCGCGAGCCGCUUCGGCGUGCUUCGGCACCUGCGCGCUCCGGGCAUCGGCCUGAGGGCUCCCCAUUUGGCCCGACUUGAAAUACGAACUAAGGAGUCUGACAUGUGUGCGAGUCAACGGGCAAGAAAACCUGUAAGGCGGAAGGAAGCUGAUUGUCGGGAUCCCUCUCCACGGCGCAAGGAAGCUGACCGACCUUGAUCUUCUGAGAAGGGUUCGAGUGUGAGCAUGUCUGUCGGGAUCUGAAAGAUGGUUAACUAUGCCUGAGCGGGGCGAAGCAAGAGAAAACUCUUGUGGAGGCCCGCAGCGAUACUGACAUACAAAUCGUUCGUCGGACUUGGGUAUUGAGGCGAAAGACUAAUCGAACCAUCUAGUAGCUGGUUCCCUCCGAAGUUCCCCUCAAGAUAGCUGGAGCCCGCGUGCGAGUUCUAUCGGGUGAAGCCAAUGAUUAGAGGCAUUGGGGCCGCAAGGCCUCGACCUAUUCUCAAACUUUAAAUAGGUAGGAUGGUGCGGCUGCUUCAUUGACCCGCACCACGGAAUCAAGAGCUCCAAGUGGGCCAUUUUUGGUACGCAGAACUGGCGAUGCGGGAUGAACCGGUAGCCGAUUUACGGUGCCCUACUGCGCGCUAACCUAAAUCCCACAAAGGGUGUUGGUCGAUUAAGACAGCAGGACGGUGGUCAUGGAAGUCGAAAUCCAAUAAGGAGUGUGUAACAACUCACCUGUCCAAUCAACUAGCCCUGAAAAUGGAUGGCGCUUAAGCGCGCGACCUAUACCCGGCCGUCGGGGCAAGAGCCUGGCCCCAAUGAGUAGGAGGGUGCAGCAGUUGCCGCAAAACCUGGGGCGUGAGCCCGGGUUGAGCGGCUGUCGGUGCAGAUCUUGGUGGUAGUAGCAAAUACACAAAUGAGAACUUUGAAGGCCGCAGAGGGGAAAUGUUCUUUGUGAGCGGCACUUGCACAUGGGUUAGUCGAUCCUAAGAGACCGGGGAAGCCUUUCUGAUAGUGCGUUCAGCACGAGCUUCGAAAGGGAAUCGGGUUAACAUUCCUGAACCGGGAAGUGGCGGUUGACGGCAACGUUAGGGAGUCCGGAGACGUCGUCGGGGGCCUCGAGACGACUUAUCUUUUUUGUUAAACAGCCUGCCCACCCUGGAAACGGCUCAUGCGAAGGUAGGGUCCAGCGGCUGGAAGAGCACCAGAGCACCACAAGUCUUGUGGUGUCCGGUGCGCUCUCGGCGGCCCUUGAAAAUCCGGAGGACCGAGUGCCGAUAACGGCCGAUCGUACUCAUAACCGCAUCAGGUCUCCAUGGUGAACAGCCUCUGGUCGAUGGAACAAUGUAGGGAAGGGAUGUCGGCAAAAUGGAUCCGUAACCUCGGGAAAAGGAUUGGCUCUGAGGCCUGGGCCCGGGAGUCCCAAUCCCGAACCCGUCGGCUGUCGGUGGACUGCUCGAGCUGCUUCCGAGGCGAGAGCGGGUCGCCGCGUGCCGGCUGAGGGACGGAUUGGGAAUGACUUCUCCUGGGGCGUUCCCUGGGCGUCGAACAGCCGGCUCAAAACUGGUACGGACAAGGGGAAUCCGACUGUUUAAUUAAAACAAAGCAUUGCGAUGGUCCUUGCGGAUGUUAAUGCAAUGUGAUUUCUGCCCGGUGCUCUAAAUGUCAAAGUGAAGAAAUUCAACCAAGCGCGGGUAAACGGCGGGAGUAACUAUGACUAUCUUAAGGUAGCCAAAUGCCUCGUCAUCUAAUUAGUGACGCGCAUGAAUGAAUUAACGAGAUUCCCACUGGCCCUGUCUACUAUCCAGCGAAACCACAGCCAAGGGAACGGGCUUGGCAAAUUCACACUAUCCCUGUCUAAUUAGUUGAGCUUGACUCUAGUCCGACUUUGUGAAAUGGCUUGAGAGGUGUAGGAUAAGUGGGAGCUGAAAGGCAUAAGUGAAAUACCACUACUUUUAACGUUAUUUUACUUAUUCCGUGAAAUGGAGGCGGGGCAACGCCCCUCUUUCUAGUUCCAAAGUCUGCUUCAGCGGGCCGAUCCGGGCGGAAGACAUUGUCAGGUGGGCAAUUUUGCUGGGGUGGCACGUCUCUUAAAAAAGAUAACGCAGGUGUCCUAAGAUGAGCUCAACGAGAAAAGAAAUCUCGUAUGGAACAAAAGGGUAAAAGCUCGUUUGAUUCUGAUUUCCAGUACGAAUACAAACCGUGAAAGCGUGGCCUAUUGAUCCUUUAGAUCUUCGGAAUUUGAAGCUAGAGGUGUCAAAAAAGUUACCACAGGGAUAACUGGCUUGUGGCAGCCAAACGUUCAUAGCGACGUUGUUUUUUGAUCCAUCGAUGUCGGCUCUUCCUAUCAUUGUGAAGCAGAAUUCACCAAGUGUUGGAUUGUUCACCCACCAAUGGGGAACGUGAGCUGGGUUUAGACCGUCAUGAGACCGGUUAGUUGUACCCUACUGAUGAUUGUCCCC
rnacentral:rRNA from 1 species